UCGAUGCCUCAAACAAUUCCACCCGCGAAUACGUACCAAACACACAACAACGCGCAAGGCCAGCGGGGCACGCAAGUUCUCCCACGACCAAGUGCGUUGUCGAGAGCGGGGGUGGGCGUCUUGAUGCCUUGUGCAUCCGGUCGCAAACCCGUGUCUCCCGACAAAAACUAACCCCGGCGUUUUACGCGCCAAGGAAAACGAAGCUGUUAGGUGAGGCAAACGGGGGACGUGUCCCGCGGGCGCCUUCACGACGACAUGUUAUGU
rnacentral:rRNA from 1 species